CCUACGGGUGACAGCAGUAGGGAAUCUUUCACAAUGGGCGAAAGCCUGAUGGAGCAACGCCGCGUGCAGGAUGAAGGCCUUCGGGUUGUAAACUGCUUUUAUAAGCGAGAAAUAUGAUGGUAACUUAUGAAUAAGGAUCGGCUAACUACGUGCCAGCAGCCGCGGUCAUACGUAGGAUCCGAGCAUUAUCCGGAGUGACUGGGUGUAAAGAGUUGCGUAGGUGGCAUAAUAAGUAGCUAGUGAAAUCUGGUGGCUCAACCAUUCAGACUAUUAGCUAAACUGUUAAGCUCGAGACCGUUAGGGGUAACUGGAAUUUCUGGUGUAGGAGUGAAAUCCGUAGAUAUUAGAAGGAACACCAAUAGCGUAGGCAGGUUGCUGGGACGGUUCUGACACUAAGGCACGAAAGCGUAGGGAGCAAACGGGAUUAGAUACCCCAGUAGUC
rnacentral:rRNA from 1 species